rnacentral:rRNA from 1 species
UGUAACUCCCUAAACCCAUGUGAACAUACCUGUUGCCUCGGCGGGCCUACCCUAUAGCUACCCUGUAGUUACCGGGGAGUGACCGCCGAAGGACUACCAAACUCUUUUAUCUCUGUAUCUCUGAGUAAAAAAACAAAUAAGUUAAAACUUUCAACAACGGAUCUCUUGGUUCUGGCAUCGAUGAAGAACGCAGCGAAAUGCGAUAAGUAAUGUGAAUUGCAGAAUUCAGUGAAUCAUCGAAUCUUUGAACGCACAUUGCGCCCAUUAGUAUUCUAGUGGGCAUGCCUGUUCGAGCGUCAUUUAGUCCACUUAAGCCUUUGCUUAGUAUUGGGAAUCUACUUUUACUCUGUAGUUGUAGUUCCUCAAAGACAGCGGCGGAGUCGUGGUUUUACUCUGAGCUUAGUAAUUCUUUUCUAGCUUUCGAGUUGCCAUUGCCCCCUUGCCGUAAAACACCCUUUAUUUUUUAAUGGUUGACCUCGGAUCAGGUAGGAAUACCCGCUGAACUUAAGCAUAUCAAUAAGCGGAGGAAAAGAAACCAACAGGGAUUGCCCCAGUAACGGCGAGUGAAGCGGCAACAGCUCAAAUUUGAAAUCUGGCCUUCUGGUCCGAG